UGGGGAAUAUUGGACAAUGGGCGAAAGCCUGAUCCAGCAAUGCCGCGUGAGUGAUGAAGGCCUUAGGGUUGUAAAGCUCUUUUACCAGGGAUGAUAAUGACAGUACCUGGAGAAUAAGCUCCGGCUAACUCCGUGCCAGCAGCCGCGGUAAUACGGAGGGAGCUAGCGUUGUUCGGAAUUACUGGGCGUAAAGCGUACGUAGGCGGUGACUCAAGUCAGAGGUGAAAGCCUGGAGCCCAACUCCAGAACUGCCUUUGAAACUAGGUCGCUAGAAUCACGGAGAGGUGAGUGGAAUUCCGAGUGUAGAGGUGAAAUUCGUAGAUAUUCGGAAGAACACCAGUGGCGAAGGCGGCUCACUGGACGUGUAUUGACGCUGAGGUACGAAAGCGUGGGGAGCAAACAGGAUUAGAUACCCCAGUAGUCCCUGAGCGGGCUGGCAAGGCGCAU
rnacentral:rRNA from 1 species